ensembl:miRNA gga-mir-12263 gga-mir-12263
UCCCGCGCAGCCCGGCCGCAGCGCUUAGUCACCGCGCUCGGGAGGGCAUCGCGCGGAGG